GGUGUACUAGGAAGGUGGAGGCUGGGUGAACUAGGAAGGUGGAGACUGGGUGAACUAGGAAGGUGGAGACUGGGUGAACUAGGAAGGUGGAGACUGGGUGAACUAGGAAGGUGGAGGCUGGGCGAACUAGGAAGGUGGAGGCUGGGUGAGACUGGGUGAACUAGGAAGGUGGAGACUGGGUGAACUAGGAAGGUGGAGACUGGGUGAACUAGGAAGGUGGAGACUGGGUGAACUAGGAAGGUGGAGGCUGGGUGAACUAGGAAGGUGGAGACUGGGUGAACUAGGAAGGUGGAGACUGGGUGAACUAGGAAGGUGGAGGCUGGGUGAACUAGGAAGGUGGAGGCUGGGUGAGACUGUGUGAACUAGGAAGGUGGAGGCUGGGUGAACUAGGAAGGUGGAGGCUGGGUGAGACUGGGUGAACUAGGAAGGUGGAGACUGGGUGAACUAGGAAGGUGGAGACUGUGUGAACUAGGAAGGUGGAGACUGGGUGAACUAGGAAGGUGGAGACUGGGUGAACUAGGAAGGUGGAGACUGGGGUGGUGGAGGCAAAGCGUUGCCAGCAGCAGCAGCAGUAGGGUUGGGUACCGACACCCGGUGCUAACACGACACCGGUGCCUUAACGACCGGUAUCUAUCGGACCGAAUAACAACACAGAUUUUGGUGCCACUUAAAUACCUGCCUGCUCUA